GAUGAGCGCUGGCGGCGUGCCUAAUACAUGCAAGUCGAGCGAACAGACGAGGAGCUUGCUCCUUUGACGUUAGCGGCGGACGGGUGAGUAACACGUGGAUAACCUACCUAUAAGACUGGGAUAACUUCGGGAAACCGGAGCUAAUACCGGAUAACAUCUUGAACCGCAUGGUUCAACAGUGAAAGACGGUCUUGCUGUCACUUAUAGAUGGAUCCGCGCCGCAUUAGCUAGUUGGUAAGGUAACGGCUUACCAAGGCAACGAUGCGUAGCCGACCUGAGAGGGUGAUCGGCCACACUGGAACUGAGACACGGUCCAGACUCCUACGGGAGGCAGCAGUAGGGAAUCUUCCGCAAUGGGCGAAAGCCUGACGGAGCAACGCCGCGUGAGUGAAGAAGGUCUUCGGAUCGUAAAACUCUGUUAUUAGGGAAGAACAAAUGUGUAAGUAACUAUGCACGUCUUGACGGUACCUAAUCAGAAAGCCACGGCUAACUACGUG
rnacentral:rRNA from 1 species